rnacentral:rRNA from 1 species
GACAGAGGAUGCAAGCGUUAUCCGGAAUGAUUGGGCGUAAAGCGUCUGUAGGUGGCUUUUAAGUCCGCCGUCAAAUCCCAGGCUCAACCCUGGACAGGCGGUGGAAACUACCAAGCUGGAGUACGGUAGGGCAGAGGGAAUUUCCGUGGAGCGGUGAAAUGCGUAGAGAUCGGAAAGAACACCAACGGCGAAGCACUCUGCUGGCCGACACUGACACUGAGAGACGAAGCUAGGGAGCGAAUGG